rnacentral:lncRNA from 1 species
AAAACAUGUCCAGUAAUAAGAAAUUGGGUUAGGAAGAACUUACUACCUAACUGGCUAAAUCAAGCUUCCUCCAAUCUUUACUCCAAUAGCAUAUGAGAAAAAAGAUUCAAAUUGUAUCAUCUUUAAACUUAGAAGCAAGUCCAUAUCAAGCAAGCAAAUAACUUUCGUUUCUAUUGCACUUUCCUUCUUUCAUUGACAAAGGACAUCCUUUAAGUUGUUACUCUUUGUGAUUCCAAUCAAUUGAAUAGCAUUGAAUAUGAUCCAAUCAAUGCCCCAUUGGACAAAGUAAGUGGCCAAUACAAAGGAGGUCAAGAUGGGAAGAGUUUUUUUUU